rnacentral:rRNA from 1 species
UGGGGAAUUUUGGACAAUGGGCGAAAGCCUGAUCCAGCCAUUCCGCGUGCAGGAUGAAGGCCCUCGGGUUGUAAACUGCUUUUGUACAGAACGAAAAGGUCUCUAUUAAUACUAGGGGCUCAUGACGGUACUGUAAGAAUAAGCACCGGCUAACUACGUGCCAGCAGCCGCGGUAAUACGUAGGGUGCAAGCGUUAAUCGGAAUUACUGGGCGUAAAGCGUGCGCAGGCGGGUAUAUAAGUCAGAUGUG